rnacentral:rRNA from 1 species
AGCAGCCGCGGUAAUUCCAGCUCCAAUAGCGUAUAUUAAAGUUGUUGCAGUUAAAAAGCUCGUAGUUGAAUUUCGGGAUCAAUACGUCGGUCGUGCUUCGGUACGUACUGGCGUAAUUGAUUUCUCCCUUCUGACGAACCAUGAUGUCAUUAACUUGGUGUCAUGGGAAAUCAGGACUGUUACUUUGAAAAAAAUUAGAGUGUUUAAAGCAAGCUAACGCUUGAAUACAUUAGCAUGGAAUAAUGAAAUAGGACGUUCGAUCCUAUUUUGUUGGUUUCUAGGAUUGACGUAAUGAUUAAUAGGGAUAGUUGGGGGCAUUAGUAUUCAAUUGUCAGAGGUGAAAUUCUUGGAUUUAUUGAAAGACUAACUACUGCGAAAAGCAUUUGCCAAGGAUGUUUUCAUUAAUCAAGAACGAAAGUUAGGGGAUCGAAGACGAUCAGAUACCGUCGUAGUCUUAACCAUAAACUAU